rnacentral:lncRNA from 1 species
UUUGUUUCGCUUUAUGUCUUCGUCGUUAUCGUAGUUAAUCCUGCAUACACAAGCCAAAACUCUACUCCGAUCUAGACAAUUAUUACAAAGCGAAUUGACAUUCUGUUGCCCGGCACGUCAUUGGUUGGCGCUUCGUCCGAUUCUUUGGCGCAUCGUCCUCUCUUGCGGCUUGUUGCCCAAUCGGCGGUUGACCUCCGCAACCCCGAUAUCCUUGGCGCAAUUCCGCUCUUGGCCCGAUGCCCGACGUCCGAAGCCUUCUGCCAUCCAAUAUCCUAACGUGAUCUCCU